rnacentral:rRNA from 1 species
GAACGCUGGCGGCAGGCCUAACACAUGCCAGUCGCACGGUAACAGGACGCAGCUUGCUGCUUUGCUGACGAGUGGCGGACGGGUGAGUAAUGUCUGGGAAACUGCCCGAUGGAGGGGGAUAACUACUGGAAACGGUAGCUAAUACCGCAUAACGUCGCAAGACCAAAGAGGGGGACCUUAGGGCCUCUUGCCAUCGGAUGUGCCCAGAUGGGAUUAGCUAGUAGGUGGGGUAACGGCUCACCUAGGCGACGAUCCCUAGCUGGUCUGAGAGGAUGACCAGCCACACUGGAACUGAGACACGGUCCAGACUCCUACGGGAGGCAGCAGUGGGGAAUAUUGCACAAUGGGCGCAAGCCUGAUGCAGCCAUGCCGCGUGUAUGAAGAAGGCCUUCGGGUUGUAAAGUACUUUCAGCGGGGAGGAAGGGAGUAAAGUUAAUACCUUUGCUCAUUGACGUUACCCGCAGAAGAAGCACCGGCUAACUCCGUG